UACGUAGGGUGCGAGCGUUGUCCGGAAUCACUGGGCGUAAAGCGCACGUAGGCGGCUUUCUAAGUCGGGGGUGAAAUCCUGGAGCUCAACUCCAGAACUGCCUUCGAUACUGGAGAGCUUGAGCCCGGGAGAGGUGAGUGGAACUGCGAGUGUAGAGGUGAAAUUCGUAGAUAUUCGCAAGAACACCAGUGGCGAAGGCGGCUCACUGGCCCGGUACUGACGCUGAGGUGCGAAAGCGUGGGGAGCAAACAGG
rnacentral:rRNA from 1 species